GACAGAGGUGCCAAGCGUUAGGCGGAAUCACUGGGCUUAAAGCGUGUGUAGGCGGAUCGUUAAGUACCUUGUGAAAUCCCACGGCUCAACCGUGGAACUGCUCGGUAUACUGGCGAUCUUGAGCCACCUAGGGGCAACUGGAACAAGCGGUGGAGCGGUGAAAUGCGUAGAUAUCAGGAGGAACACCGAUGGCGAAGGCAGGUCUCUGGGCAUUAACUGACGCUGAGGAGCGAAAGCAUGGGGAGCGAACAGG
rnacentral:rRNA from 1 species